AAAAGUCAGAUUUUUGGUCAGCUCUCGGGUAGCCUUCAGCAGGCAGUGUACCGGUACAGAGUUGAUGGCUGUACCGGUACAGGGUUGAUGGUUGUACCAGUACGCGGGCUCGUGUACCGGUAGACAGGCAGUUUUGAGGCAAACCCGAGGCUCGGGUUUGGGAUUUUCGUGGGAGGUGUACCGAUACGCGGGCCCGUGUACCGGUACACAGUGACAGAUUCUGAAUGGUCGAAACUGCAGGGGUGUAUUUGCAUUGUGACACUUCUAUAUAU
rnacentral:lncRNA from 1 species